rnacentral:rRNA from 1 species
AUUGAACGCUGGCGGCAGGCCUAACACAUGCAAGUCGAGCGGAUGAAGGGAGCUUGCUCCUGGAUUCAGCGGCGGACGGGUGAGUAAUGCCUAGGAAUCUGCCUGGUAGUGGGGGAUAACGUCCGGAAACGGGCGCUAAUACCGCAUACGUCCUGAGGGAGAAAGUGGGUGAUCUUCGGACCUCACGCUAUCAGAUGAGCCUAGGUCGGAUUAGCUAGUUGGUGGGGUAAAGGCCUACCAAGGCGACGAUCCGUAACUGGUCUGAGAGGAUGAUCAGUCACACUGGAACUGAGACACGGUCCAGACUCCUACGGGAGGCAGCAGUGGGGAAUAUUGGACAAUGGGCGAAAGCCUGAUCCAGCCAUGCCGCGUGUGUGAAGAGGGUCUUCGGAUUGUAAAGCACUUUAAGUUGGGAGGAAGGGCAGUAAGUUAAUACCUUGCUGUUUUGACGUUACCAACAGAAUAAGCACCGGCUAACUUCGUG